rnacentral:rRNA from 1 species
GCGCGCUACCAUGCAGUUCGAGCGCCCCGCAAGGGGAGCGGCAAACGGGUGAGUAACACGCUGGGAAUCUACCCUGAAGUUCGGAACAACAGCGGGAAACUGCUGCUAAUACCGGAUACGUUCUACGGAAGAAAGAUUUAUCGCUUCAGGAUGAGCCCGCGUUAGAUUAGCUAGUUGGUAGGGUGAUGGCCUACCAAGGCUACGAUCUAUAGCUGGUCUGAGAGGACGAUCAGCCACACUGGGACUGAGAUACGGCCCAGACUCCUACGGGAGGCAGCAGUGGGGAAUAUUGGACAAUGGGGGCAACUCUGAUCCAGCCAUGCCGCGUGAGUGAUGAAGGCCUUAGGGUUGUAAAGCUCUUUGAGUAGGGAAAAUAAUGAUGGUACCUACAGAACAAGCCACGGCUAACUUCGUGCCAGCAGCCGCGGUAAUACGAAGGUGGCUAGCGUUACUCGGAAUCACUGGGCGUAAAGCGCGUGUAGGCGGGUGCGAUCAGUCGGGUGUGAAAUCCCCAGGCUGUAACCUGGGAUCUGCACUUGAUACUGUCGCGCUAGAAUCUGGGUACAGGAGUGUGGGAAUUCCUA